AGUGGCGAACGGGUGAGUAACGCGUGAGGAACCUGCCUUUCAGUGGGGGACAACAGUUGGAAACGACUGCUAAUACCGCAUGACACUUUUGGGAGACAUCUCCUGGAAGUCAAAGCUUUAUGUGCUGAAAGAUGGCCUCGCGUCUGAUUAGCUAGUUGGUGAGGUAACGGCUCACCAAGGCGACGAUCAGUAGCCGGUCUGAGAGGAUGAACGGCCACAUUGGGACUGAGAUACGGCCCAGACUCCUACGGGAGGCAGCAGUGGGGAAUAUUGGGCAAUGGGGGAAACCCUGACCCAGCAACGCCGCGUGAAGGAAGAAGGCCUUCGGGUUGUAAACUUCUUUUACCAGGGACGAAGGACGUGACGGUACCUGGAGAAAAAGCAACGGCUAACUACGUGCCAGCAGCCGCGGUAAUACGUAGGUUGCAAGCGUUGUCCGGAUUUACUGGGUGUAAAGGGCGUGUAGGCGGAGAUGCAAGUUGGGAGUGAAAUCCAUGGGCUCAACCCAUGAACUGCUCUCAAAACUGUAUCCCUUGAGUAUCGGAGAGGCAAGCGGAAUUCCUAGUGUAGCGGUGAAAUGCGUAGAUAUUAGGAGGAACACCAGUGGCGAAGGCGGCUUGCUGGACGACAACUGACGCUGAGGCGCGAAAGCGUGGGGAGCAAACAGGAUUAGAUACCCUGGUAGUCCACGCUGUAAACGAUGAAUACUAGGUGUGGGAGGACUGACCCCUUCCGUGCCGCAGUUAACACAAUAAGUAUU
rnacentral:rRNA from 1 species